GAGUGAGUGGCGAACUGGUGAGUAACACGUGGGAAACCUGCCCAGAAGCGGGGGAUAACACCUGGAAACAGAUGCUAAUACCGCAUAACAACUUGGACCGCAUGGUCCGAGUUUGAAAGAUGGCUUCGGCUAUCACUUUUGGAUGGUCCCGCGGCGUAUUAGCUAGAUGGUGGGGUAACGGCUCACCAUGGCAAUGAUACGUAGCCGACCUGAGAGGGUAAUCGGCCACAUUGGGACUGAGACACGGCCCAAACUCCUACGGGAGGCAGCAGUAGGGAAUCUUCCACAAUGGACGAAAGUCUGAUGGAGCAACGCCGCGUGAGUGAAGAAGGGUUUCGGCUCGUAAAACUCUGUUGUUAAAGAAGAACAUAUCUGAGAGUAACUGUUCAGGUAUUGACGGUAUUUAACCAGAAAGCCACGGCUAACUACGUGCCAGCAGCCGCGGUAAUACGUAGGUGGCAAGCGUUGUCCGGAUUUAUUGGGCGUAAAGCGAGCGCAGGCGGUUUUUUAAGUCUGAUGUGAAAGCCUUCGGCUCAACCGAAGAAGUGCAUCGGAAACUGGGAAACUUGAGUGCAGAAGAGGACAGUGGAACUCCAUGUGUAGCGGUGAAAUGCGUAGAUAUAUGGAAGAACACCAGUGGCGAAGGCGGCUGUCUGGUCUGUAACUGACGCUGAGGCUCGAAAGUAUGGGUAGCAAACAGGAUUAGAUACCCUGGUAGUCCAUACCGUAAACGAUGAAUGCUAAGUGUUGGAGGGUUUCCGCCCUUCAGUGCUGCAGCUAACGCAUUAAGCAUUCCGCCUGGGGAGUACGGCCGCAAGGCUGAAACUCAAAGGAAUUGACGGGGGCCCGCACAAGCGGUGGAGCAUGUGGUUUAAUUCGAAGCUACGCGAAGAACCUUACCAGGUCUUGACAUACUAUGCAAAUCUAAGAGAUUAGACGUUCCCUUCGGGGACAUGGAUACAGGUGGUGCAUGGUUGUCGUCAGCUCGUGUCGUGAGAUGUUGGGUUAAGUCCCGCAACGAGCGCAACCCUUAUUAUCAGUUGCCAGCAUUAAGUUGGGCACUCUGGUGAGACUGCCGGUGACAAACCGGAGGAAGGUGGGGGAUGACGUCAAAUCAUCAUGCCCCUUAUGACCUGGGCUACACACGUGCUACAAUGGAUGGUACAACGAGUUGCGAACUCGCGAGAGUAAGCUAAUCUCUUAAAGCCAUUCUCAGUUCGGAUUGUAGGCUGCAACUCGCCUACAUGAAGUCGGAAUCGCUAGUAAUCGCGGAUCAGCAUGCCGCGGUGAAUACGUUCCCGGGCCUUGUACACACCGCCCGUCACACCAUGAGAGUUUGUAACACCCAAAGUCGGUGGGGUAACCUUUUAGGAAC
rnacentral:rRNA from 2 species